UAGAAGGUUUCUGUCUAUUUGAGCUAGUCAGUAUGUGUAGGUAUUCCUGUCUAACGCGGCUUUAAAAACAUCUUAUUGUGUAGUGGAGCUGCAUAAGUGUUGCUCUCCACUUUCUGGAGGAUUGAGUUUUAAAAUCAGUGGUAUUAGAGUAUGAUAACUAAAGAGAUGGAGAAAACCCCUGUCUCCGGAUUACAUCUUCAAACUAAGGGUAACCAUGGCAUCCGUAACAGGGAGACACGUCCAUCAUGCAUGAUGAUGUAUACGGAUCGCCUCACUGAGCAGCGAGAUGAUGUUGAAAAGAAUCUCACUAGUCAACUGGAUGACCUCAGGAAGGAGAAUG